CUUUUCUUGUAUAAAUAUGAAAUAUGACCUGCCCACUGAUUAAUUUUGAAGGGCCGCGGUAUUUUGACCGUGCAAAGGUAGCAUAAUCAUUAGUCUUUUAAUUGUGGACUGGUAUGAAUGGUUGGACGAGGAAUAAUCUGUUUCUUAUUAUUUUUUUUUGAAUUUAAUUUUUGAGUUAGAAAGCUUAAAUUUAUUUAUGGGACGAGAAGACCCUAUAGAGUUUUAUAUUUUAUAUACAUAUUUUGUUUGAUUAAAAAUUUAUUUGGUAUUUAAUUUGUUUUGUUGGGGUGAUAGAAAGAAUUAAUUAACUCUUUUUUAUAUUAAUACAUUUAUUUAUGAUAAGUUGAUCCAUUCUUAUUGAUUAUAAGAUCAAAUUACC
rnacentral:rRNA from 2 species